rnacentral:rRNA from 1 species
CAGCCGCCGCGGUAAUACGGAGGGUGCAAGCGUUAAUCGGAAUUACUGGGCGUAAAGCGCACGCAGGCGGUUUGUUAAGUCAGAUGUGAAAUCCCCGAGCUUAACUUGGGAACUGCAUUUGAAACUGGCAAGCUGGAGUCUUGUAGAGGGGGGUAGAAUUCCAGGUGUAGCGGUGAAAUGCGUAGAGAUCUGGAGGAAUACCGGUGGCGAAGGCGGCCCCCUGGACAAAGACUGACGCUCAGGUGCGAAAGCGUGGGGAACAAACAGGAUUAGAUACCCCGGUAGUCCCUGUCUCUUAUAC